rnacentral:rRNA from 1 species
UACGUAGGGGGCAAGCGUUGUCUGGAAUCAUUGGGCGUAAAGAGCGUGUAGGCGGCUCGGUAAGUCCGCUGUAAAAGUCCAGGGCUCAACCCUGGAAAGCCGGUGGAAACCGUCGAGCUAGAGUCCGGAAGAGGCGAGUGGAAUUCCUGGUGUAGCGGUGAAAUGCGCAGAUAUCAGGAGGAACACCAAUGGCGAAGGCAGCUCGCUGGGACGGUACUGACGCUGAGACGCGAAAGCGUGGGGAGCAAACAGG